UACGUAGGGGGCAAGCGUUGUCCGGAAUUAUUGGGCGUAAAGCGCGCGCAGGCGGCAAGGUAAGUCUGGUGUUUAAACUUGGGGCUCAACCCCAAGACGCAUUGGAAACUGCUUGGCUGGAGUACAGAAGAGGCGAGUGGAAUUCCAGGUGUAGCGGUGGAAUGCGCAGAUAUCAGGAGGAACACCAAUGGCGAAGGCAGAUCUCUGGGCCGUAACUGACGCUGAGGAGCGAAAGCAUGGGGAGCGAACAGG
rnacentral:rRNA from 1 species